AUGUUUCGUCGGGCAUUGGGCGCCGUGGGGAGGAUCCUACUGCGCAGCCAGGCCACGGCGGCUCGGUCGCUGUCGAGGCCGGCCGGAGCUAGCAGUCUGAGACACCUACACUCUCAGCAGAGCAAUGUUGGGGAUGCUGCAGCUACUGCUGGCCACCGCUUUGGCUUUCUUCGCAGGUCUAUGAAACUAGCUGCAUGGUCCGGAUAUGUUGGUUUUGGAGUUUGGACCUGCAGCUGUUGGGCGAUGGUUGCUGCAGCCUCGGUCGAAGCUGUACAUUACAUGAAGACCUUGCAGUCGAUCUCGUUGUCGGUUCAAGAGCUCAUCGACUGUGACACAAAGAGUGAUGGGUGUCAAGGCGGCCACGAAGAAAAUGCUUUCAGAUAUAUAAGCAAAAAUGGACUCUCGAGCGAAUCCGACUACCCAUACAUGGCUCGGAGGAGUAAAUCAGGUUGCAAGAGAAACAAGACAGCAGCAGCAAUAAGGAUAUCAGGCUUUCGAUUUGUCAACCCAACUGAGGAUGCUCUAGAGAAAGCGGUAGCGAAGCGUCCCGUGGUUGUCACUUUGCAGUUUUUCGAUGAUCUGCAUGAGUACAAAGGAGGCAUCUUGGAUUGUAAAGCUGUCAAUGGAAAGACCGAUUGCUUGCAUCCUGUCCUGAUUGUUGGUUAUGGCACUGAUUCCAACGGCAUCAAGUACUGGCGCUUCAAGAACUCAUGGGGACCAAACUGGGGUGAGAAGGGCUUUGGUAGGAUCCGCAGGCAUGUUGAUGACAAGCGAGGUGUGUUAGGUAUCUUCAUAGAACCAGGAGUAUAUCCGGUGCUCGAGGACUGA
rnacentral:rRNA from 1 species